CUGAAAUGACUAAGAGGCUGGUGCUACAAAAUAUUGUAUCUAAAGAAUACGAUGCAGCCACUCUUUCCAGCUCAGCCUUCCCUUCUGUAUGUCAGGGCACAAGUCCCUCCUGGUCUUGGGACUAACAGGGAAUAGGUGGAAGGACCAACCUCUGAACCUGUCUGUCGGCUUCCCACUCUUCCCUUCCGCUUCUCCCUCCAGAGAAGCCUGCCAUAAAACUGGGGAGAAGACACAUGGAUAAACCAAGAGCAAUGGAGAGAUGCAAUUACCUGAGGACAAGAUUAGAGGCAGAAACAGCGUGAUCCAAGAGCAUGUUCUCUUGAGGCAUUUCCC